AUUGAACGCUGGCGGCAGGCCUAACACAUGCAAGUCGAGCGAGCGACGGGCGGGUGAGUAAUGUCUGUGAAACUGCCUGUGGGAGAGGGAGACCUGAUGGAGACGGUAGCUAAUACCACAUACCAUCAGGUGUAGGCAGAUGGGAUUAGCUAGUAGGUGGGGUAAAGGCUCACCAAGGCGACGAUCCCUAGCUGGUCUGAGAGGAUGACCAGCCAAACUGGAACUGAGACACGGUCCAGACUCCUACGGGAGGCAGCAGUGGGGAAUAUUGGACAAUGGGCGCAAGCCUGAUGCAGCCAUGCCGCGUGUGUGAAGAAGGCCUUCGGGUUGUAAAGCACUUUCAGCGGGGAGGCGUUACCAGCAGAAGAAGCACCGGCUAACUCCGUGCCAGCAGCCGCGGUAAUUC
rnacentral:rRNA from 1 species